GUCUCCACACCCCAUCUGGCAAUGAAGUUCCCUUCCCUCUCGGGCGACAUCCUGACCAUACAUGUAGAUCAAAAGGUCGCCCGAGAAUGCUACGCCGAAAGCCUGCGGGUCGAGCCCACACAACAGGGGCCCAGCGGCAGCCGCUCGCCCAGGCGAAAGAUAGCCGAACGUGGUAGGAGCCCCCGCCGACACUCACCCCAAC
rnacentral:lncRNA from 1 species